UUCCAGACUCCUACGGGAGGCAGCAGUGGGGGAUAUUGCACAAUGGGGGGAACCCUGAUGCAGCGACGCCGCGUGGGUGAAGGAGUGCUUCGGCAUGUAAAGCCCUGUCAGCAGGGAAGAAAAUGACGGUACCUGAAGAAGAAGCCCCGGCUAACUACGUGCCAGCAGCCGCGGUAAUACGUAGGGGGCAAGCGUUAUCCGGAUUUACUGGGUGUAAAGGGGGCGCAGACGGCGAUGCAAGCCAGGAGUGAAAGCCCGGGGCCCAACCCCGGGACUGCCCUUGGAACUGCAUGGCUGGGGUGCGGGAGGGGCAGGCGGAAUUCCUGGUGUAGCGGUGAAAUGCGUAGAUAUCAGGAGGAACACCGGCGGCGAAGGCGGCCUGCUGGACCGCGACUGACGUUGAGGCUCGAAAGCGUGGGGAGCAAACAGGAUUAGAUACCCGGGUAUA
rnacentral:rRNA from 1 species